rnacentral:rRNA from 1 species
GACGAACGCUGGCGGUGUGCUUAACACAUGCAAGUCGAACGGUAAGGCCCUUUCGGGGGUACACGAGUGGCGAACGGGUGAGUAACACGUGAGUAACCUGCCCUCAUCUCUGGGAUAACAGUCGGAAACGGUUGCUAAUACUGGAUAUGAGCUUGCAAGGCAUCUUGUGGGUUGGAAAGAUUUUUUUGGUUGGGGAUGGACUCGCGGCCUAUCAGCUUGUUGGUGAGGUAGUGGCUCACCAAGGCUUCGACGGGUAGCCGGCCUGAGAGGGCGACCGGCCACAUUGGGACUGAGAUACGGCCCAAACUCCUACGGGAGGCAGCAGUGGGGAAUAUUGCACAAGGGACGGAAGUCUGAUGCAGCAACGCCGCGUGCGGGAGGACGGCCUUCGGGUUGUAAACCGCUUUCAAUUGUGACGAAGCUUUUUGUGACGGUAGCAGUAGAAGAAGCACCGGCUAACUACGUG